UACGUAGGGUGCGAGCGUUGUCCGGAAUUAUUGGGCGUAAAGAGCUCGUAGGCGGUGUGUCACGUCGGCCGUGAAAACCUGGGGCUUAACUCUGGGCGUGCGGUCGAUACGGGCAUCACUAGAGUUCGGCAGGGGAGGACUGGAAUUCCUGGUGUAGCGGUGAAAUGCGCAGAUAUCAGGGAGGAACACCCGGUGGGCGAAAGGCGGGGUCUC
rnacentral:rRNA from 1 species